AUUUAUAUAGUUUAUUUAAAACAUUACAUUUUCAUUGUAAAAAUAAAAUAUUAAUUUUUAUAAAUA
rnacentral:tRNA from 2 species